rnacentral:misc_RNA from 1 species
GAUGAAGAACGUAGCGAAAUGCGAUAAGUAAUGUGAAUUGCAGAAUUCAGUGAAUCAUCGAAUCUUUGAACGCACAUUGCGCCCCUUGGUAUUCCGGGGGGCAUGCCUGUUCGAGCGUCAUUAUAACCCCUCAAGCUCAGCUUGGUGUUGGGGCCUGACGACUGGCAGCCCUUAAAAUCAGUGGCGGCGCCAUCUGGCUCUAAGCGUAGUAAUUUCUCUCGCUAUAGAGUCCCGGUGGAUGCUUGCCAGCAACCCCCAACUUUCUAUGGUUGACCUCGGAUCAGGUAGGGAUACCCGCUGAACUUAAGCAUAUCAAUAAGCGGAGGA